UGAAAAACCAGUUCCCGUACGAUCAACGAAGUUAAGCAACAUCGAGCCUGAUCAAUACCUUGAUGGGUGAGCGUUUCGGAAUACAAGG